GACUUAUCGAAACAUUAACAAUUUAAGAUUUAUUAAAAUCUUAGACAGUUUUUAAUACUGAAUCAUGCCAAAAAUAGUUCGAAUCUUAACAAUAUUGUAAAACUUCGAUUUGUUUCGAAAUUGAGAUUUAAGCACUCAUUGCUAUAGAAAUUCAACCAAGAUAUCACGGCUCCAAUAUCUAAAGGUUUGUCAAUCUUUAUAAAAACGAUUAAAUGUCAGGUCUCGUACAAAUACACACACGUACAUGCACACAUAUGUAUAGUGUCAAAGUUCCGCUCCACUUCCAAGAAAUGGUGGGGAUAGUGAUGUUAGUUAGCAAGGCGGAAUUCCGGCCAGUUAGUAAGACACUACUGCAUUCUAUGAAAAGAGUUGACAUUUAUAAGACCACUGCAGACGAGUAUAAGAAUUUUAUAUAGCAAAAUAGUCGUUCAUUAUAUAGUUAAACAAACGGUGUGGGUAUUCCUUUAUAGGAGUGAGUCUUUAUAGUCUCUUGGCCAAUAACGGCCGAGACAAAUCGAAGGCAUCUUGUCGCGCCAGAUUCAAAAAAAGCGCGCCUCCUAAGCAAACGUAGCUACUAUGUAUAGCCUGUAUAGGAUCUUAAAGUGCAGCUGUGUAUACUUUGCAAAAAGGGGGAAGUGAUAUAUUUUAGACUUGAUACGUGUCAAAGAGAGGUAAACGAUGCAUCUUUACGUGAGCUGUCAUACCUUUGUCAACUUCUAAAUAUGACAAAACUUUUCAAGUUUGAAAUUCAUAUUUAGGUAAUGUGGUUUUUUUUAGACAUGAGUGUAACAGAGUUUGUCACGAUAAUAUUUUAUAAAAGAGAGAUAAAAAACUUAAUGUAAAAAUGACAAACGAUUGUAUAAGAUGAGAAACUAUGCCAUUAAUUAAUUAUCGGUAUAUUAUCGUAUAUAUGAUAGGUAUGAGAACAAUUAAUAUAUAAAUGGUAUUCCAGGUAAAGAGAUACAAAUAUUAUAACAAGAUAACUAACACAUGUAUAUUCUAAGAUCCAAUAGCAAAUCUCUUCUGUGAUAAGAAAUACGUCUGAGUCUGAGCAAAUUUAAACUUCGAUCGAAUGCUCGAUAUAAAAAUAUAGGUCGAGCCGUAUGCUAUGACUUACAUGGAUAUUCAAUAAAAUUGAUGAUUUUCAUUGUAUUGUAGAAAGCCAAGAUGCAAAAAUUAUCAUGUCUCUGAAUACAAAAUAUGUUAACAAUUAUGUACGUAAUCAUAUUUGGUUUUCGUAUCAGUUCAGACCACACACACAGAGACAACGAGCGCUGCUUACAGAACACUUAACCGCAUCGUUUCUUUUGGCGUUAAUUGAUAGACCGUGUGCAAAGAAUAUGUUCUAUGAUAAAAGAAGUUGAUGUUCGUACUGAAUAUCAUAUCUCUUUCGUUUUAUUUAAUUUUUCCGUUCCGUUAAUCGCAUUUAUUUCUUGCAUUAAAAGUUAUAUAAUAUUUGUUAUACUUAGGUAUCAAAAUAAAGUUGUUGUAGGAAGUAAAGUAGGAAAUAUUGAAAGAAGUAAACUAUAUUUGCAUAUAAUUUGCAUCUAUUCAUCUGUCUUGGAUAAAUGACAAGUUUAAUAAUUUCUACUUCAUUCACAAUUCUUGUUUGACACUUGAUCCUCAGUGUAGAUAAUUUGGCAAAGUAUCAAAAAUUGCAGUGCGGUUUAUAGGACAUGUAAAAGCAUUGUCACAAAUUUAGAUUGAGCUACACGAAACCGACAAACUCAAACGUAUAUUUUAGAUUAUUAUAUUAAGACAUGAUUUCCUUGCGAUUGUAAAUUUAUUGCUUUAUUAUCAAUUCACAAAAUAAAAAUUUAAUGAAUACAUAUUAUAUAAACGUUAAUAAUAGUAGGAUUAAUGAUAGAAAAAGGUCGUCCAAUCUUCUUCAUACUGACUUUGUACAAUUUGAAAAUAAAGAAUAAGCCUUAAUGUGUAUUUGCAUCUUAGGUACUUUUCUGAUUAGUCAGUUUAAUCAGUAACAUUUAAUUUCAUUAAAAAACAUGAUAUAAUAAAAAUAAUUUAAAUAUACAACAGUAUAAUUAAAUACAUUGUAUAUCUAUUUAAAAUUUAUUUAAAAGUAAUGGAGUCUUGCAUGUUUGUAUAAAUUAAAAAUCAUUUUGUAAUUAUUUAUA